UCAGCAAGGACAAAAGUAGGUAACCCUCCAGGCCUAGAUUUGAAAGAGAUGCCAACCUCAUCAAACCCUUUGCAUGCCUUUUGAUUAGCUUUUGGAUAAACCACAGUACCAACUAAAGUUCCUCCAUAUUGAGGAACUCCGAAAUUACCAAUCGCACAUUCAUAAACACCUUUCAAUGACUCAGGUGAUGUUAGUUUCAAGCUGUUUUUCUCUACUACAAACCUACCAAAACAAAACCCACAUAGCAAAAACCAUACACAAACCAAAAAUCCUAACUUUUCCCUCAUUUUUUCACUAAAAAUCCAAUCUUUCACUCAAAACUUCAAUGGAUCAAGACAAAAGAAAAGACCCAGUUUUUAGUUUUAUUCUCCCUUCCUGAAAUAACAAGACAGCCAGAAAUAUAAUUCUAAAUGCAAAUUAAAUAUAAAGUGGAAUCUUAUAGGCUAAGUAAAAGAAAUAAAUCAAACGAAUCAAAAAGUGACAAACUUUCUAUCAAAGCUUGUUUCUUGAAGAUCCCGGAUGGGAAAUACAAGCAAAUGUCCAAGAGGAAACUGCUUUUAUUGGCUUAUCUAUAGUUUCCUGCUGGGUCUUGAGAGCUGAAUUUUACACAAAGGCAGGGGCUUUCUUUUUUGGAAGGGAAAAGAAUAUAAAAAAGGUUAUAUAUUUAAAGAAGUGGGUAGUUGUUGCUAUUAUAAUUAUUUGAAAUAGAAAAUCGAUUUUUAAAAGGAUUGGGAUGCUGCCUUGUUGGAGUUCACGUAGAAAAAUUAAAGUAUAAGCAAUCAACGACCCGUCUCCUAGAGGAACUAGAAAGAUUUAAACCGCCUUUGAUCAAGGCCUAAUUUUAGCUUUACUUUUCUUUUCUUUAUUUUUUAUGACUAGAGACCCUCUUUUCUGCCUUUAAACUCGAUCUACUUAUCUAAUGCGGUCAAAUAUAUAUUAAUUUUUAAAAAUAAUUAUUAAGACAAUAUUAUUUUAAUUUUAAUUUAAAAUAAAUUAGGUUAACCUAAGUUUAUUUUUUUACCUUUGAAUCGGGACUUAAUUAGGAUGAAUUGUAAUUCUACAGGGUAAAAUAUUACAUGAAUCAAGACUUAUGGUUGCACUUGCAAUAAAAUAAUAAAUGAAAAAUGCUUUCUUUUUAACCAUUGGAGCAAACACGUGUAAUAAAAUUUUGUUUUGUUGAUAAAAUAUUAUUUGAUUUAUUGAUUUAUUUUGUUGGAUAAAGUUAAAACAGUUUAAUGAUUUAUUUUUAUUUUCUUGUCUUCUUGUUUGUGCUGUCGAUGGUUAUGGUCAUGAUAAUAUUUGGAUGGCCCGGAUUACGAACAGCAAACAUGUGUCCCAUUCAAGACAGUUACCUUGGACACGUUCUGAUUCAAAUUUUUACCUUACAUGCGAUCCACGUGCUUAGUCACCUUUUUUUUGUUUUUCCAGUUUUAACCCUUUCCUCUUUAAAGUCGAUCGGUCCCAUUAAUAAAUAGAUAAUGUUUAUAAAAAAUAAAAACAGAAAAAAAUAGGAAAAAAAUAAAAACAAAAAGAACAAAAAGAACCCAAUCAAUGAUAAAAAUUUAGAAUUAAAAGAUUUGUUUUUUCUGUGAUCUUAGAUUAAAGUCCUAUGAUCUCUUGAGAAAUGAUUGUAGCUCUACACUAAAAAAAAAUGUUUGCUGGGAAAAUAUAAAUGUGUGAUAAUUAAAUAUAUAUAUAUAUAUAUAUAUAUAUAUAUAUAUAUAUAUAUAUAUAUAUAUAUCAUUUCAUCUAACAUUAAAAAGAGGUAAAAUCUCUUGAGAAAUGAUUGUAGCUCUACACUAAAAAAAAAAUGUUUGCUGGGAAAAUAUAAUGAUAUUCUUGCUUUUCUGUUAAAAAAAAUUAACACUGAGAGUAUUUAAGUAUUUCUACAAAGAUCAUUUAUUAUUUCCAAAUAAAAUUGAUUUAAAUAAAUAUUUUUUUAUUUUACACAAUAAAAUAACCAGAAUAUUAUUGGAAGCAAAUAAUUUAAACUUGGCAUUAAAGGAUGUUUUUAUUUUUUGUAUUUAAUUAAAUAUAAAAAAAUAAUAAACAAUUAAAAUGCAUAGUAUAACAACAAAAAUACCCUUAAAACCAAAUCACUUAAGCCGGAGAAAGAGGGGCGUUUUAAAUAGUUUGGCCCGCGUGAAUCACAAAUACCAAGACUAGGCAAUAUACAAUGAAAAAAAAAUAAAGAAUAUAUUUAUCAAUUUUAAUUAAAUAAAAUGAAGUAUUCUCCACGAAGUGGGACGUGGGCUUGGCAAUAUACAAUAAAAUAUGUCACAACACAAAGCAUUCAAAGAAAAUCCAUGCAGAAAAUAUAUAAGAAUCACUUGAUAUUAAAAUCAUGUCACUCGAUAAUUGAAUAUGAAAAUAUAAGAAAAUAGGAUAUAUUAUAAAGAAAAAUAUUUUUUUUUGCAUUAACGAGAUAUAAUUUUAAAGGUAUUGUCUUACAUAAAACUUGGUAAUUUAAGAGAAAUUUAGUAGAGAGUGCUGAAGUGUUAAAUCAAGAGAGAAAAAAAUAAAAGAUUUCAUGAUCUUUAUAAACUUAUUAGCCAAAGUUUUUUUAGGCGAUUAAAUGUAUGCUUGGAUCGUUACAUGUCAACUGAAAUGUUAUGCAUUAUUUAUAUAAAAUUAUUAUAUUUUAGAUAAUUUUUUAUAAAAUUAAAAGGGAAAAUAAACUUUUAUUUUACCAAUAAGAUUAUCUCUUGGGAUUCGAAGUUUAUUAAAACAUGAAAUAGUUACGACAUCAUUAAUGUAAACAUCAAUCACGAGAGUAAUUGAAAUUGUAAACACCAAUUCUUCACGAGAGUAAUCCUGAGAGGUGUAGCUGAUCAGAUCUUGAAUAUCUGAGCUGCACCUUUGAAGUUCUUGACAAACUCAAUCUGACUGUCACAUUUUGGCCCGCACUCAUCAUUGCUAUUUGUCCAGAACUCGUACUCAACCCGUUCAUCAGGAUGUGGAAGAGACUCUGUCCAAUCAAGAUUCAUGUUAACCAUCUCUCCAUUAGAUAGAGCUUUCUUGAUACUGUCCCCCAAGGACUUGCUAAUAAGUGCUGAGGGGAUAGUGAUGUUCUGCAGAUAUGCAGCACCGGCAUCAUCUUCUUCAGGGUUGUCCAUGGUAAUCAGUGGUUCAACCUUGUCAUCUGCUACAAGAAUAGCUGCUGCUCCACCGUUCUGUGCAUUCCAUGCCUUCAAGGUAAAGUAACAAUCUGCAAAAAUAUACAUUUCAGAUACAUCUACAGGCAGAUGAUAAGAACAUGAUCACUUCCAUAGAGAAGAACACCAUAGUUACUUUUCCCAGGAAUAUCAGCCACACACGACAGCAUAUGAUCCAAAGUAUCACCACCAGACAUAAAAUUACACUUGGUUCCGGAAUCAAGGUAAAACUUUCACAACGAAGCAGAGAGCCAGCAUGGUUCAAAAUUUCAUAAAUACAUAAAGUCCAUUUUCUAAACAUAAUAAACAAAACGUGCUAGAAAUCAACACAAAAAUUCCAGGUACUUUUAGAAAAAAAAUUCCGAUUACUCUAACAUGGCAUAUAUAGCAUAAUUACCACUAAGAUCAAACCUAUUUAACAAUUAUCACACAAUUAAUUUAUCAUCAAAACAAAUUAAUAUACUACUAAAAACUACAAACAAACUUUGAACUUCACUCCACACAAAUUAUUACUUGCCAUUAAAAUUAUACAUAAAAAGGUAUAAAAAGCAAUCAAAGAGGUGAAAUUUAAGAAGCUAACCUCCACGAUCAGCAAGGACAAAAGUAGGUAACCCCUCCAGGCCUAGAUUUGAAAGAGAUAUUACCAACCUCAUCAAACCCUUUGCAUGCCUUUUGAUUAGCUUUUGGAUAAACCACAGUACCAACUAAAGUUCCUCCAUAUUGAGGAACUCCGAAAUUAGCAAUCGCACAUUCAUAAACACCUUUCAAUGACUCAGGUGAUGUUAGUUUCAAGCUGUUUUUCUCUACUACAAACCUACCACAACAAAACCCACAUAGCAAAAAACAUAAACAAACCAAAAAUCCUAAAAUAUUCCUGAGAAAACUCAGAUUUGUAGGUUGUUUAGUGAAUCCGGAAAUUAAUCGUGGUACUUGUAAACUGACCCGAAUACCCCGGAUUAUAAAAAAAAAAUUGUAAACACCAAUUUCUAUACAUGAAAACUCAACAUUGUCCCGGAAUUGAUUUUGAGUAAUUUUAUUUUUUGCUUGAUAAUAAGAAAAUAUUAUAUCAUGAUAUUCCCAAGAAAGUUUAAAUCACGUGGAUGCCUGCCCGUUCAUUAUGGUUGAUGGGAAGGAAAAC
rnacentral:lncRNA from 1 species